rnacentral:rRNA from 1 species
GACGAACGCUGGCGGCGUGCUUAACACAUGCAAGUCGAACGGAAAGGCCCUGCCUUUGUGGGGUGCUCGAGUGGCGAACGGGUGAGUAACACGUGAGUAACCUGCCCUAGACUUUGGGAUAACUUCAGGAAACUGGGGCUAAUACCGGAUAGGAGCUCCUGCUGCAUGGUGGGGGUUGGAAAGUUUCGGCGGUUGGGGAUGGACUCGCGGCUUAUCAGCUUGUUGGUGGGGUAGUGGCUUACCAAGGCUUUGACGGGUAGCCGGCCUGAGAGGGUGACCGGCCACAUUGGGACUGAGAUACGGCCCAGACUCCUACGGGAGGCAGCAGUGGGGAAUAUUGCACAAUGGGCGGAAGCCUGAUGCAGCAACGCCGCGUGCGGGAGGACGGCCUUCGGGUUAUAAACCGCUUUCGCCGUUGACGAAGCGUGAGUGACGGUAAUGAGUAAAGAAGCACCGGCUAACUACGUG